rnacentral:rRNA from 1 species
UGGGGAAUAUUGCACAAUGGGCGCAAGCCUGAUGCAGCCAUGCCGCGUGUAUGAAGAAGGCCUUCGGUUGUAAAGUACUUUCUAGCGGGGAGUGAAGGGAGGUAAAGUUAAUACCUUUGUCUCAUUGACGUUACCCGCCAGAAGAAGCACCGGCUAACUCCGUGCCAGCAGCCGCGGUAAUACGGAGGGUGCAAGCGUUAAUCGGAAUUACUGGGCGUAAAGCGCACGCAGGCGGUUUGUUAAGUCAGAUGUGAAAUCCCCGGGCUCAACCUGGGAACUGCAUCUGAUACUGGCAAGCUUGAGUCUCGUAGAGGGGGGUAGAAUUCCAGGUGUAGCGGUGAAAUGCGUAGAGAUCUGGAGGAAUACCGGUGGCGAAGGCGGCCCCCUGGACGAAGACUGACGCUCAGGUGCGAAAGCGUGGGGAGCAAAACAGGAUUAGAUACCCCUGGUAGUCCACGCCGUAAACGAUGUCGACUUGGAGGUUGUGCCCUUGAGGCGUGG